rnacentral:tRNA from 1 species
GCCGGUGUGGCUCAGUGGAUGGAGCGUCAGCCUGCAGACUGAAGGGUCCCGGGUUCGAUUCCAGCCACGGGCA